rnacentral:rRNA from 1 species
UACGUAGGUGGCAAGCGUUGUCCGGAUUUAUUGGGUUUAAAGGGUGCGUAGGCGGCCCUGUAAGUCAGUGCUGAAAUAUCCCAGCUUAACUGGGAGGGUGGCAUUGAUACUGCGGGGCUAGAGUACAGGUGAGGUAGGCGGAAUUGACGGUGUAGCGGUGAAAUGCUUAGAUAUCGUCAAGAACACCUAUAGCGAAGGCAGCUUACUAGGCUGUAACUGACGCUGAGGCACGAAAGUGUGGGGAUCAAACAGG